CCGCCAGGCGUGCGGGCCAGGCAGCCGUGGAAGGUGCCCUUUUCUCCCAGAUUCCUCGCGCGCACGGCCACGAGCGCGGAGGCUGCCAAACCCGCCAGCCCUGGGUUCCGAAGCCGCCCCUGGCUCUUCACUCCCUCGCGGGCGCGCCCCGGGCCCCCGGUGGCGGCCAGCUCCCACCGGUCGCUCCUGCACUGCCCUGCCCUCCCCGGGCCGCCGCGCCCGGGCAGCACCGCCUCCUUCUCUAAAUACUGCCGGGUCCGCCCUCCGCACCAGGACGGGCGGUGGGUAGGGUGCAGGGCGGCCGGCGCAGCCGAGGCCGCGUGUGGAGGCGGACGCCGCGCCCAGCCAGUACCCACAGCAGCGCGGUCAGCCAGGCGCCGGACCCAGCUUCAGAGCUGCUGAAAUCUUGGAGGGAAGAAAACACAUCCCACCCUGCCUCCGGGAAGGGGCCUCUCCUGGACAUGUAUCCUGCAGCUGCUGCUGAGCCAGAUGGGGACCAGCAGGACAGACACGUCAGCAAACUCAUCUUCUGCUUCUUUGUUUUCGGCGCUGUCUUGUUGUGUGUGGGAGUCCUGCUCUCCAUCUUUGGGUUCCAGGCAUGCCAAUAUAAGCCCCUCCCAGACUGCCCCAUGGUGCUCAAGGUGGCGGGGCCUGCAUGUGCCGUGGUUGGGCUUGGGGCUGUGAUCCUGGCCCGCUCCCGGGCGCAACUUCAGCUCCGUGCAGGGCUGCAGAGAGGUCAGCAGAUGGACCCCGACCAAGCCUUCAUCUGUGGAGAGAGCCGCCAGUUUGCCCAGUGCCUUAUCUUUGGGUUUCUGUUCUUGACAAGCGGCAUGCUCAUCAGCGUCCUGGGCAUUUGGGUCCCUGGAUGUGGCUCCAGCUGGGCACAGGAACCGCUAAACGAGACAGACAGUGGCGACUCAGAGCCCCGGAUGUGUGGGUUCCUUUCUCUGCAGAUCAUGGGGCCCUUGAUUGUGCUUGUGGGAUUGUGUUUCUUCGUGGUUGCCCACGUUAAGAAGAGAAACACGCUGAAUGCUGGCCAGGAUGCCUCUGAGAGAGAAGAGGGACAGAUCCAGAUUAUGGAGCCUGUCCAGGUCACUGUAGGUGACUCGGUAAUAAUAUUUCCACCCCCUCCACCACCUUACUUUCCUGAAUCUUCAGCUUCUGCGGUCGCUGAGAGUCCUGGCACUAACAGUCUGCUUCCGAAUGAAAAUCCCCCUUCAUAUUACAGUAUUUUCAACUAUGGUUCUAGGAAGUCAGCGUGAAACGGCCAUAGGUUCCCUGCCUCCAGACCCUAUUCUGCCACAAGCCGAGAUCGCGCCACUGCACUCCAGCCUGGGCAACAGAGAGAGACUCUAUCUCAAGGGGAAAAAAAAAGAAUGUUUAAUGACCCACCAAUCAGACUGAGCACCAGGAAUGGGCCAGGAGGCCCCUGCUAUGCUAGGCUUCACUGCUUUAGAUCAUGGAGAGGUAUGAGGGUCUCGGGAUCCCCAACAGUUACAGAAGGGCUUUAGUACUCUGAUGGCCGUGCUUGGGUGACUGGCUAAAAUCAGCCUGAGCCCUGAUCCAACACAACUGGGCCUCUCCUUCAAUAUUCGCUCCUUCCCUGGGCCACAGAGAACAUCAGGUCAAUACCCACCCCACACAGAAUGCAGCGAGGCAGGCUCUACUGGGACAGGCCUGAGGUGCCAGGAGCCUGGGAGAGGGGGUCCGGAUGGAGAAGGACACUGAGGAAGAGGCGAAGAUGAUGAGUUCCAGGGACCCCAGCUUCAGAGGGUGCAGCCUUUGAAAGAGACUGUGAAUCUAUAUAUACCAUUUCUGGGACGAAUUCAUCUUCUGAGGCCUCACACACUGCACAUCUUCCAUCUGAAUUGCCUCCU